AGCAGCCGCGGUAAUUCCAGCUCCAAUAGCGUAUAUUAAAGUUGUUGCAGUUAAAAAGCUCGUAGUUGAAUUUCGGGAUCAAUUUGCUGGUCGUGCCUCCGGUACGUACUGGUAUUAUUGGUUUCUCCCUUCUGACUAACCAUGAUGUCAUUCAUUUGGUGUUGUGGGGAAUCAGGACUGUUACUUUGAAAAAAUUAGAGUGUUUAAAGCAGGCAUAAGCUUGAAUACAUUAGCAUGGAAUAAUGAAAUAGGACGUUUGAUCCUAUUUUGUUGGUUUCUAGGAUCGACGUAAUGAUUAAUAGGGAUAGUUGGGGACAUUAGUAUUCAAUUGUCAGAGGUGAAAUUCUUGGAUUUAUUGAAGACUAACUACUGCGAAAGCAUUUGCCAAGGAUGUUUUCAUUAAUCAAGAACGAAAGUUAGGGGAUCGAAGACGAUCAGAUACCGUCGUAGUCUUAACCAUAAACUAUGCCGACUAGGGAUCGGAUGAUGUUAAUUUUUUAAUGACUCAUUCGGCGUCCG
rnacentral:rRNA from 1 species